rnacentral:lncRNA from 1 species
GUGGUAAAACCUGCAGAAGGUGAAACCUAGUUGAAGGAAGUUAGGUCAUUGAGGUGUGCCUUUCAAGGUAAUAUUAGGAUUCUGAUCCACCCUCCCUUGCUUUCUCUCCACCCCCUCCUCCAGCUUCCUAUCUGGCACCUGGUAAAGAGACCUCCCUUGCCACGUGGUCUCCAGGAUGAUAUGCUGCGUCACCACAGGUCCAAAGGCAACAGGGUCAAAACCUCUGAAACUGAAAUCCAGAAUAAACUUUUCUCCUUUUAAGUUGAUUUAUUACAGGUAUUUGUCACAAUGAGGGAAAUCUAAGACAAGAAACUUAUGGCUUUCAUGCCCAUUAUUAAAACCUACAAGUCAGUUAAUAUUUUUCAGAGCAAAGAUCCAGUUAAGGGAGUGGUACUCACAUAAUAAAAUACAUUUCAGGAUAAAAGGGUGAUUUUCUCAUUGAAGUUUGAUAAGCACAUAAUACUUGCAAUUACAAUUAAAUGAAGAGAAAUAUAGGUCAGAGGGUAAGGAAGCAAAAGAAUACUGCAAUCUAGGAACUUUCUAUUGAAAAAACUGUGAGUGUAGAUUUUUGGUAUAAAAAUAUGACUAGAAUUAAUAGAAAACAGACCACUAAUGCUUGAGACUGACAUAAUUAGAACUGAAAAGGAUACUGUUUAAGACUUGAGUUCCAACAUCUAGGGAGAAGAAGUGGGACAGAAGAGUUGUUCAACCCCAAAGUAAACCAUAUUUCUCAAUUCCCGUUUCAAAUGUGACUGAGGAGAAUGUAAAAGGGAGAAGAGUCAGGGACUAUGAUCAACAAGGAACUGGCAUCCCCAUAUAGAGAUUGUUUAUUUUGAACUUUAUGCUAUAAUUGGAUAAGACUUUUGAGUCAUCUCCCUUGGGUUAGGAUGUAUUCUGGACAUGGGAAGGAGAGGAAAGUGAAUAUUUGAUAGUUAGAUGUUGGUAAAUGUUAAACUAUUUUUGGUUUUCUUUCUUUCGAGUACAACUAGGUUGUACAAAACAACUAAUUUUAAAAGUGAAGAACAUGUUUAAUAAAAAAAUAGGUACUGAAUUUCUUUUUCAAGAAGUAAAUGAGUAUGUAAUAUGAAUAUUCUUUACAUUUAUCAUCU